UGAAUAGCUCUUCCAAAGUGGCUUUGGAGUCAGGAGGACAGGCAGAACACUCCAGGAAAUGAGUCUGAAACAAGUAAAAAGAAGUCAGUUGUGACCUGAGAGGCUGAACAGAUUGCAGAAGGCACUGCCAGGGAAACCAGUGGCCAAAGGCACAAAUAUGCUGAAGACUGAAACCAAGAAUGAGAGACAGGCGUGACCCUUCCUCCAGCCCCGUCUGUCAUCUGGGCACGCUCGUGUCACGUGUCACUACAAACUGUUGGGACAUCUGGAACGGGUUCAUGAAAGUUCCUCUGUCUGGUUCAGUGCCUGGUCACAGUGAGUUUUCCUGGCACAAGUGAGUGGAAAGAGCACUUUGGCAUGGAGAGGAAAUGAGCAGCGGAGGGUGAAAGGCACUUCCCAUUUGUGUCCUUAUCUCCCAGGCUCCAGCCGUCUUCAAAGGCUUCCCAGCUACUGUGUCCUGCAAGUUCAAAACCUGCAGCCCACUGGGACUGGAAAUGUGUGGAGGAGCACAAGGAUUGGAGUUGAAUGACAGUCUUUUCCUUCUGACUUGCAAAUCUGCUAGGUCGCUGCUGCUUUUCUCAGAGAUGAUCCUUGGCUCACUAUCAAGUGAAUUGCUAAUGAAUUAGUUACACUCACAUUUUUAAAGAAGAGUCUGGGGACACCCAAGGAAUUCUUCCUCAGCCAGAAGCAGAUCCUCAUUGAAAUGGACUCCAGGAAGUUGGAUUAGAUGAUCGGGGCAUUUUGGUGCCCUUAAACACAAGGAAAGAUGAGGGUAGAGCAGAGGAAGAUAAGAAGAAGAGUAGGCAAGCAGGAAAAUUCCCUGUGACCAAAGAAACUGAGAGACUGGCAAGAGCGGAGGAGCUGUGAUUGGGAAUGACCUCUGGGGCCAUAAACAGCUGGAUGGAAAGCUUUAACUGUUUGUCAGUCUGAAAUCUGCAGCUCCGUGGCAUUGUACCAGGCCAGUUAUCUCGAGCAGGACUCCUGCAGGCAGCCAUGCUU